UAUAUGAUCCUUUCAACUUAUCCCUCUUCAUUGUUUGGAGCCUAUACACAUCCUCAGGUCUCUCCAAUCCUUAAGAAUGCCUGUCUCUACUUGGCGUUCUCUCUAGCUACCAUCCUAUCUUGCUCUUUCUCUGUAAGACCAAGCUUCAGUAAGGAAGAGGCUGUAGAUACUCUAUUUCUUCUCCUUUAACUCUUCAAAUCAGGUUCUAAUGUCAGCCUUCUGCUCCUACUGAGGUUUCCAGGGACAUUUAAUUGCCUCCCAUCACCAGUGUUACUUAAUUUCUCAGGAGCAAUUGACACUGCCCACUUCACCCCCUUUCUUGAGACUUUGCUCCCUUGGUCUCCAUUAAGCCACUCUCUUGGGUUUCCUGAUCAUUCUUUCUUUGUUUCCUUUGGGCUCUCCUCCUUUCUCAUUCCUCAAGUUGUUUUUCUUCCCUUCCUUCGCCACUCCCUCAAUCCCCCUCUAUUUCCUCCUCCUCCUCCUUUUUCCUCUUUCCGCAUUGAUUCUCUCCUUUUGUCUACAAGUUUAAAACCAUUUGUACAGCACAGGAUAAACGGCAGAUAUUGUCCACAAGCCAGACACCUCCUACAGGAUUGUCCACAUUGCUGCCCUUACUGUCUUCUUUCUGGCCCAUUCAGCAACAUGUAUUAAAAAGCAGACCUGUGGCUGGUGCUCAGCGAGGGUGUCCUUAUGCAUUCAGCUGGAAUCUCCAACUAUAAAUAGGAACUGCAGGCAGUCUUCAACGAAGAAGCACUGGCUGGGGAGAAAAUUUGAUCUCUGUGCCAUUUAGGAGAAGUUUGUUGUCUGGAGAAACUGAGCCAGACAGGUUUAAGACUUGGGGCCCCGGAAGAAGAAGAGUGGAAUGCCAACCUGAAAACAGGGGAGUGUUGAACAUCUGCACGUGGAAUGGGACAACCAAGGAUUGCCAGAUAUUUAAAGGAAGCUUUUAAUAUCCAAGAGAGACCCCACGACAAACAAAGGGAAAAAAACCCUCAGGAAAUGGAGCUAAUGCAAGGAGAAUGAAAAAGCUUCACAGGAACUAUAAUUUUAACAUCCUUGGAGAGAGAAGAAAUGUUGCAUCUAUUUAAAAGAAAAAGA